AACAACUGAAAAAACAUAUCAAAUAACCAAUGAUAGUUUUUGGUACAUAUUGAAGUAGUACCAACUAUUUAAAAUAAGUGAAGGCAAAAACUCUAUAUAGCAAUUGUACAUAGUUUCUUCAGCUAUUAAGACUAACAUAAUUUGCCAGUUACUAACUCAUGUAGAAUUAGUCUACAAUUUGUACAUUAUAUUUAAUUGUAAUCUCUUCAAAAAUAUCCAUAGUUGAAGUCUCUCUCAUAAUAAAAUUUGACGUCGAUCUUCUCCCAACACCCAAAACUGUCUGCACAGUUCGAAGUAGUCCUCACUGUGCUUUUCCAUAUUUAUUGUUUUGUUAAUUUUGCCUCUGACCAAUGACUUUUGCUUUCAAACUAUAUGCACUCUCAACUUCAUUUGAAGACUGAUUGUACUUAAGGCUCUUCAACGAUGUACCUAUCAGAGUCGUUUCCUCAUUCAACAUAAGAUGGUCUGUUGUUAAAAAAAUGCACAGAUGUUAAACUGUUUAAUUUAACAAAAAUAGAUAUUAAGAGGUUAUUCAUGAUCACCACCAAUGUAUUCCAAUGUAGGAGGAUUUGACUUUUGAAAAGUAGAUACAUGAAUUGCACUGAACAAAACAGGUUGAUAUCACAUAUUUUAAACAAAAUAAGUCCCAGGAAACUGAGAAUUUAAUAACAUACUAAAAUUACACAUAAUUUAAAUGAAUGGGAUUCGUCUUAUUUAACAAAAUCCCAAAUUGUAAAACAUCUUCCUAUGAUCGAGUUGCACUGAAUACAACACAUGAUGCAAAUAUCUAAUACUUAUCGAUCGUUCAUGGUUUUGUGCAAGAAACCAUCAAUCACCCGUUUCACUUUUCUGCUUUGUCCCACUAUUUUCACAAAACUUUAACAAUAUGAAGCAGAAGCUUCCAAGGAAAACUACCCACACAUACAUAGUGGUCCUGUACAAUUUUAAUUAGUUGCACAAUUCAUAGUGAUCAAUGUACAAAUCUGAGUCAAAAUUCAUUUCAUGUUGUGAAAUUGAAAACCUAUGAGGUUAUCAUCUACAGUGACUCGAGAUGUAUGACAAAGAAAAGUUUAUUGUAUCGUGUCUACAACUUGGGAAACAAUACAAAUGAGAAACAAUAGGAAUAACGAUGCUAAAGACACAUUGCUCACCUUAGAUUUUGAUCUAAGUGACUCUUGGAAAGAUGUUUGACCGUCGGAGGGCUUUGUCCUUUUACUUGCUCGUAACAAACAAAACUUUGUAUCACAUAGAUUUUAUAACGAACCUUGCACCUGCCAAGAAUGAAAAAUGUGUAAACGACUCAUGUGAAUAAUAAAUAUUAUUAUUAUUAUUUUGUUUUUUGUAUGACAAAUAACACAACUCUUAAAAUACCAUCAUUUUUAGUGUCCAUUUCAUAAUUUUCCACAAAGGCAGGGACGUCUCUACUGUAUAGCAAAUUAGGAAAGUGCCUAAGGCCCCACUUAAUUGUUGGGCCACAUAUUUUCUAUUUAAGCAUUUAUUUCUUCAUUUUUAGGUGUUUUUUUAAAAUAAAGCUCUAAAUAUUGAAGAGUUCUCUAGAAAAAUCAAAGAAUUUUCGGGUCACGUCAUUUUUGUUCAAAUUCCAAUACUUUUCAAAGUGAAAUUUAAUAACAAUUAGUAUAACUCUUCUACAAUAAAAACUAAAAUCAAAUUAAAUUGCAUAUAAUAAAAAAAAAAAAAAAACUAUCCUACGUUUUUUCUUCAAAAUAUUUUCUGAUUUCUUCUUCAAGGACCGGUUUGCCUAAAGCCCCCACAUCUCUUGAGCCGGCCCUGCACAAAGGUCGGAUGUCAUAUUUAUUUUUCCAAGCUGUUAUAAUCUUAAAAAUCUGAUGCAGACUUGCUUAUAACACAAUCUAACAGAAAACGCCAAAAAACGAUUUUGCCUAAACAAAACAGGUUGAUAUAUGUGAACUACACUGAAUAAAAAACAGGUAGGCAUAUGAACAUCACCUCAUUACAAUAGUUCCAACUUUGGUUUAUUAGAACACCAUCUCAUAAGAAACUAUGCAACUGAUUUUGCUACUGGUUUAUCAUCAGUUGGAGGGUUGAACAGUUAUGACUUUGAACACCAAUGUCAAUCAGCAGAGUUCAUACUCUUGUUGUUCAAUAAAGUUUGUUACAAUCCUCACAUAGACAAUCCCUAAUCUCGGUUCCCUUGAAAUGAUUAGAGUAUCAAGUUAUCAUUAUUGUCAAUGGUUGUAUUCUUCACAGUCAUAUGGUUGAUCUAAGGAUUAAACGCACACUGGAAACUAAUAAUAGAUCUCAAAGAACUGAAUAGAAAACAAAAGAUAUUAAAAAAAGUGAUAAUUAGCCUAUACUUAGACUUUUAUUUCGCAUGAGUGUGAUAGUUAGAAAUGUUUAAAUUGAGAAAAUGGUGGAUAAAAUCGAAGAAAAAAUAGAUUAUUUUUUUCAAGCUCGUUCGAAUAAGCAACUUUUAAAUUUCAGUAUAUGUUUCUGCGACCCACGUCUCUCAUCACAUUCUAAGGAUGGAUGACCUUGCAUGGACAACUAAUGGGAAUCCUUACUUGGGAAUGAGAAAGUAUACGCAUAUUGUUAACAAUGAAAUAUUUGAGGAUGUAAUUUUCUUAUAAAUCUGCAAGGACAUGUUGUCCGCAAAAGUAAUGAUUCUUGACCAUCAAAAUAUAUAGAUCAAAGAAAUGAAGACAAAUUAAAAAGAAGCAAAACGUCACUUUUGUGAGUAUUCAUACCUUGCAUACCGAGAAGCAAAUAUGAAAUAACUGAGAUCCUCAAGCAACUUCAUGUUUGUUGGUGGCACCACCUUGACUUCUUGAAUGAUAAGUUGUUUUUCGGCUUCCAAUGAUGAAUUCAGUGUAUCUGUUGGAUGACCUAUUGAAGGGUCGCCUCAAAACUAAACUGCAAUAUGCAUGUAUUUAUGUCAUAAAGCAAAAUGUUCAUGUGCGAACAUCAAACUAUUGAACAUGCAAAAACUCUAAACGUCAAACUAGUUAGAACAAUAGUCAAUCUAGCUCUUUGUUUGGUUUCCCACUCAUUCCGUGAUAACUUAAGAUAUAGACAAUAUAACAAUUGCUUCUAAGACCAUUAUCUAAAAUUGAUACUAAAUGAAACCAUGUACUAAGACCAUGAAUAAUAUUUCCCCCCUUCCUUUAUUCAUGUCAUCUAGUGUUUUUUUUUUUUUUUGUUACUUCUAAGCUAGUGUUUGUCUAAGAAACAUUUCCUUAGGUUGCCUUUGGCAGAACUAAGAGUUGUCUGUGUAGCUUGAUGUUUGUAUAAGUAUUCAUGUUUGUUGUGUAAGGAGAAACUGAUGUGUCUGGGUUAAGAAUAGCUGAUGGACAUCCAUAUAUAUGAUUACAUAUGUGUAAAUUUUUGUCAUCAAUUUGGGGAAAUCUACAACAAUGAAAAUUAUAAGUAAACCUAUAACAUAUCACUAACUUUAAAAAUCAAGAUCAAUACUCUAAUAUUGGCAUCAACGAAUGGCCUUCAUUACCAACAUCAACUUGAAAAUUAACUGGUGAUUGAUCUGAUCCAAUUUGGAGUCUGGCCUCUCAUAUAGAGGGUCCUUCUCUAUCGUGGUUAAUAACAAAGGUACUACAGGGAGUAAGGUUGGACUGUUUUACAGGUUCUCACUCCUCUCAUACUAAUUGGUGUUGCCUCGGUGUUUAAAUAAUGUAGAUUGUGAACCACAGUCAACAUGCAGUUAAGGUCGGCAAAUCAUGGCUACUAAAUUCAUUGCGCUUGUUAAUUUUUCAUAUCUAAAUUGCAAAGAUAGAAGUCUUGGCUACCUAAUUAUCUUAGUCAGACCUCCAAAUAUUUUAGUAUACAUUGUUGUGCAUCUCAAUCAUCUCCAGUGUUUGGCUGAAGCCCUAUUCUCAUUAUAGGUUGGAGCCUGUAAAUUUUAUCUAUUUGGGAAUGUUUGGGUGAUCUAAAUGAAGAGACCGAAACGGUUUUGGAAUAAUAUAUAGUAUGAGUUCAAUAUUUAAAAUAAUUUUGGAAAACAAUAGAAAGAAGAGAGCAAAUUAUGGAACAUGAAAGAAUUUUUAGAAGAAGUACGCGACUACGACAUUUGAUUUAGCAAACAAUAAGAGGAGAAUUUUGGAGUAGAAGAACAAACAAAUAAAAAAACACAAAAGCAGUAUAAGUGGCACACAAAAGAACUGCACUAAACCUUCUUGUAAGACAAUUAAAAAUCCUCUGUAAAAUCAAUUUGUUAAUGAAAUUAAUCCAUCAGUAAUAGGAAAACAGUAUGCCUACAAACUAAAUCGGAUUUUCCUAAAUUUUGGCUUCACUUCACACCAAUUGCCCAAAUCAGAAAGAGAUUGAAGUAUUAAACCAAUAGUUCAAUGUUGGUUUCCUUUGUAUUUAAAAUUUGAAAAGCACAUUCAAACUAUGAAAAAAUAGCCGAAUUGAAAAUCAAUUUCAGAGAACAAUAGAUAGAAGAACCAAUCCUCACCUGAAAGUAUUCCAUCGAAGCAGGAAUUGAUUCCCGUUGAAGCAAACCAAAUUUGUAAAGCAGCGAUGUAAGAGCAAAGAACUUGGAGAAAGAAAGGAAUUUGAGAAGAAGGAAAAAUAGGGAAAAAAAAAAA
rnacentral:lncRNA from 1 species